rnacentral:sRNA from 1 species
GAGCUUUCAGGAAAAAGUAAGAAGCUAAACACAAGAUAUCAAGGAUGAGCAAAACAUUGUCAAGGUUAUCUGAAUGCAGUAUCUAAACGGGUAAUUCAGAUGUAUUCAUCUCUUUAUCCGACGACAAGUUCCUAUAUAUAUGAGACUAAAUAAAACAUCCUCAAAUGGGUAGACGGAGAAUAUGGGACAUAUAUAGGCCGGUGCAACUAUAAUCAGUCUGCCUAUAAUGCGUAAGAAAACAAAAAAAAACUAACGUAAAAACGAUAAUUCUUUUCUUUUUUAAUUGAUGGAAUAUGUAUAAACUAAACAAAACAAAGGAAUAUGAAAUAGAUUUUGAGAAGAGAAAAAGAAUAUGAUUCGAUCAAAUCAAAGAUGUUGUUUCUACAAUCACAAUUGAAUUCUUUU